GGUAACCGAGUUCACGGCCUC
rnacentral:siRNA from 1 species